GCCUACGGGAGGCAGCAGUAGGGAAUUUUCGUCAAUGGGCGCAAGCCUGAACGAGCAAUGCCGCGUGAACGAGGAAGGUCUUCGGAUCGUAAAGUUCUGUUGAAGGGGAAAAAGAGCGGAGAGAGGAAAUGGUCUCCGAUUGAUAUUACCCUUCGAGGAAGUCACGGCUAACCACGUGCCAGCAGCCGCGGUAAUACGUAGGUGGCGAGCGUUAUCCGGAAUGAUUGGGCGUAAAGGGUGCGUAGGCGGCCUGCUAAGUUUGGAGUGAAAGGUACCGGCUCAACCGGUACAGGCUCUGGAAACUG
rnacentral:rRNA from 1 species